GUAGGUAUUGCUCAGUGGUAGAGCACAUGCUUAGCAUGCAUGAGGUCCUGGGUUCAGUCCCCAGUACCUCCA
rnacentral:tRNA from 1 species